rnacentral:lncRNA from 1 species
CUGCACAAGGGCAGCUGGAAUCUGGGAACCUUACCUGCAGCACCAAUACCUAAGAGAAAUCGCGCUUCCCUGACACUAACACGCCAUGCCAUCCCCACGCACCCUGCCAAAGUCCUGUAACCAUCUACUUCUUCCAUCUGCCUAAGAGAAACUGUAAACGGGAUUUCCCCCCCACGAUUGAAUGGAAGCUCUGUACUGUACCGACUUCUGGAUUUGCCCUGGGUUGAGUUUAGGGAAUGUCUGGAAAGAAAAAAAGGGAGGAAAAAAGGAGGGGGGCAGCUCAAGCCUUGUCCAAGUUAGUCAGAAGGCGGUGUUAGGCAGGAAAGCGCCUACGGGAAAAACAGCUGGGAUGCAGACGGGCUAUGGAAAUCUCAGUUCUAGGAACCGUGUCCUUUCGUCCCGGAGGUAAGAUUGUGUGACUGCCUCACGUUUAUUCUUUCACUGUCUGUGUCUCUCUUCCCCACCCCCAACUACCCCUGCCACUCAGAUCAGCCGGCAUGCACCCUGGAGAAGGGCACAAACACGGCGGGGGCUUUAUUUUUCAGGUCUCUCCACUCAUAAAUUAUGGGUGUCACUAAAACGAGAUUAGCAAAUCUUCUACCGCUGGCGGCGGCAACCAGAGCCUCUGUCUUGCCAGUUGCGCACUCUGAGACAUCUCUCGGUGCAGAGUGGUUCCGAAGCCCCAGCCCGCUGGGUCGCUCGGCCUGAGGGCUCAGGUGAUGGAGAGGAGGCUCGCGGCGUCCCAAACGGGUUCGGCCAAGGGUUUCCACCCCAUCACCACUUCCCGCUGCCUCCACGCGCGCGCGCGGACCCACGAGCACACACACACGCACGCACACACACAGACACGCGCGUAUUCUGAAAUUCUGGCCGAACUCCUCAUCUAAACGGAAGUCCCUUUACAGUCAAUUCAGCCCGCUCCAGAGCAUCGGGGAAACUAGACUGUUCCGUGGAUGAACUGCGAGGAUGCCGGCGGUCAGGCUUGGCCGAGCUUUGUUUACGUGCCUAAGUCGCCACCUUGAGGUCGAGGGGAAGACUGCGCCCAGCUAGGGGCUGUAGAGACGAACCCAGCUGACACUGGCCCAGCAGCCUUGGCGACCUCCCGGGACCGCCUGAAAGAGAAGCAAAGGGAGGGCGCCCUGCGGGCGGGCGGGCCACGCUAGGCGCCGUCUGCCCUCAGAGACUCGGGCUGACAGGAGUGAGAGCUAAAACUUCCAACUAGCUGAAACCAAUAGCCGGGAAUCGAGCGAAGGCGAACUCUCCCAGCAAAGUAUAAAGCUUCGGGCCAAAGAGUCUGCAGCUCCAAGUCAGGGGCUGCGGCUCCGAAACUCCAAACACUAACUCCCAGGGCAGUGGCAGAGGGUGGGGGCAGCUUCGAAGAGGCAUACCAACUGCUCCGGUCCUGGCCGAAGACCGAGCUCCCUUCUGCGGUGACCUCGGCUCAGAGCUGACUCCGUACUCCCUGGGACUCAUCUCCCGCUUCCUCUCCACCUUCGGAACAGUAGACAAAGGGACUCAGGGACGCGGCCAGACCCAAGGUCACAAACGGAGGUCUCCGAGACGAGAAUUGCGUGCAAGAGAAGGACGUUCAGGCAGCCCGGCCGCCUGCUGCGAGAGCUGAACAUUUCCCAGCUCUAUAGUCGCCCAUUUCUCAGGAAAUCAGUCCUUCUGAGUGUCUAACAAUGGAUUAGAUCUGUGUGUUGGCUGUGACUCUGUUGGGCUCUACUGGACUUGGCUGGGCUCAGCUUCAGACUUGAGGUCAUGUUCAGAUGUUCUCCAAGUACCUUUUCAUUCUGGGUUCCAGGCUGAAUUAACAGCCUCACCUGGGACAAGGUGUUUUUAUGACAGAGAGAAAAAGCACAAGAGUUCAAGACAAAUCACACAAACAUAUUUAAAGCCUCUGCUCAGAUGUGGCAUUGGAUACAUCCCCAUAAACUCUACUGGCAAAACAAAGACACACAGACUUGUGGCAAAGCUCUAAGUCAAUGGCGAAGAGAAGCACUGGCCUUCAGGCACAUUGACGCUGGGAUUCUAGGAUGCAGAUGGUAGGGAUUAGAUACAACUUCCUGAGCUGGCAGUGAAAGGACUGACGUUUGGUUCCCUAUAACUUGGGGAGGGGCUGGUAAAGGUAAGACACAAGAGAACUAAGUGCCCAUACUUGAUCCCAGCUAAAUCAAUCUUCCUAGCAUUCCACCCAGAAAGGAUUUUGACAACUUUAUUAAAUGAAACUGGGAAGUGAAGAUUAGGCUCAGUGGAGCCAGAUUGGAAUCCAGACAACAUGGCUUAAGGAAAAAGAGGAAACACGAAAGGUGACAUAAAGGGCAAAAGAAUGAAAUGGAGCCUGAAGACAUUUACAGGCAAGAUUAACAAAAAUUGAGCCUGAGUUCUGCAAUUCACAGUCCUAAAACUAUUUUUUAUUUAUCCUGCUCAGUACUCAAAGUAUACUUUUGAUAUGGAAUAAAUCUUUUCUCAAUUCUGGAAAAUUUUUAGCUAUCUUUGUUUAGAAUAUUGCUUUUUCAAAAUUUUCUUCAUUCUCUUGUUCUGAAACUCGUACUAGAAAUAUGUUAGCAUUGCUGAUCUUUCUUACAUGCCCCUUCACUGGCUCUGUCAUGUUUUUUAUCUCUAGGUUUUAGAUGAAAUCAAUAGUACUAGCUGGUUAAUUCACUCAUCAGUUCCUCGAUUAUGCCUAGUAAAGAACUUUUUUCUGGCCAGGCGUGGUGGCAUACACCUACUUGAGAGACUGAGGCAGGAGGAUCACUU